rnacentral:rRNA from 1 species
CUCAGGUGUCGUUGGGUAGGGGAGCGUUCUGUAAGCCUGCGAAGGUGGCCUGUGAGGGUUGCUGGAGGUAUCAGAAGUGCGAAUGCUGACAUAAGUAACGAUAAAGCGGGUGAAAAGCCCGCUCGCCGGAAGACCAAGGGUUCCUGUCCAACGUUAAUCGGGGCAGGGUGAGUCGACCCCUAAGGCGAGGCCGAAAGGCGUAGUCGAUGGGAAACGGGUUAAUAUUCCCGUACUUGGUGUUACUGCGAAGGGGGGACGGAGAAGGCUAUGUUGGCCGGGCGACGGUUGUCCCGGUUUAAGCGUGUAGGUGUGUGUUCCAGGUAAAUCCGGUUCACUUUAACACUGAGGCGUGACGACGAGGCACUACGGUGCUGAAGCAACAAAUGCCCUGCUUCCAGGAAAAGCCUCUAAGCAUCAGGUAACAUCAAAUCGUACCCCAAACCGACACAGGUGGUCAGGUAGAGAAUACCAAGGCGCUUGAGAGAACUCGGGUGAAGGAACUAGGCAAAAUGGUGCCGUAACUUCGGGAGAAGGCACGCUGACACGUAGGUGAAGUGAUUUACUCAUGGAGCUGAAGUCAGUCGAAGAUACCAGCUGGCUGCAACUGUUUAUUAAAAACACAGCACUGUGCAAACACGAAAGUGGACGUAUACGGUGUGACGCCUGCCCGGUGCCGGAAGGUUAAUUGAUGGGGUCAGCGCAAGCGAAGCUCCUGAUCGAAGCCCCGGUAAACGGCGGCCGUAACUAUAACGGUCCUAAGGUAGCGAAAUUCCUUGUCGGGUAAGUUCCGACCUGCACGAAUGGCGUAAUGAUGGCCAGGCUGUCUCCACCCGAGACUCAGUGAAAUUGAACUCGCUGUGAAGAUGCAGUGUACCCGCGGCAAGACGGAAAGACCCCGUGAACCUUUACUAUAGCUUGACACUGAACAUUGAGCCUUGAUGUGUAGGAUAGGUGGGAGGCUUUGAAGUGUGGACGCCAGUCUGCAUGGAGCCGGCCUUGAAAUACCACCCUUUAAUGUUUGAUGUUCUAACGUGGACCCGUGAUCCGGGUUGCGGACAGUGUCUGGUGGGUAGUUUGACUGGGGCGGUCUCCUCCUAAAGAGUAACGGAGGAGCACGAAGGUUGGCUAAUCCUGGUCGGACAUCAGGAGGUUAGUGCAAUGGCAUAAGCCAGCUUGACUGCGAGCGUGACGGCGCGAGCAGGUGCGAAAGCAGGUCAUAGUGAUCCGGUGGUUCUGAAUGGAAGGGCCAUCGCUCAACGGAUAAAAGGUACUCCGGGGAUAACAGGCUGAUACCGCCCAAGAGUUCAUAUCGACGGCGGUGUUUGGCACCUCGAUGUCGGCUCAUCACAUCCUGGGGCUGAAGUAGGUCCCAAGGGUAUGGCUGUUCGCCAUUUAAAGUGGUACGCGAGCUGGGUUUAGAACGUCGUGAGACAGUUCGGUCCCUAUCUGCCGUGGGCGCUGGAGAACUGAGGGGGGCUGCUCCUAGUACGAGAGGACCGGAGUGGACGCAUCACUGGUGUUCGGGUUGUCAUGCCAAUGGCACUGCCCGGUAGCUAAAUGCGGAAGAGAUAAGUGCUGAAAGCAUCUAAGCACGAAACUUGCCCCGA